rnacentral:rRNA from 1 species
UGGGGAAUCUUGCACAAUGGGGGCAACCCUGAUGCAGCGACGCCGCGUGAGCGAUGAAGCCCUUCGGGGCGUAAAGCUCUUUCGACCGGAACGAUAAUGACGGUACCGGGAGAAGAAGCUGCGGCUAACUACGUGCCAGCAGCCGCGGUAAUACGUAGGCAGCAAGCGUUGUUCGGAGUUACUGGGCGUAAAGGGUGUGUAGGCGGUUCUUUAAGUUUGGUGUGAAAUCUCCCGGCUCAACUGGGAGGGUGCGCCGAAUACUGAGGGACUCGAGUGCGGGAGAGGAAAGUGGAAUUCCUGGUGUAGCGGUGAAAUGCGUAGAUAUCAGGAGGAACACCGGUGGUGUAAACGGCUUUCUGGACCGUAACUGACGCUGAGACACGAAAGCGUGGGUAGCAAACA